CCUACGGGAGGCAGCAGUAGGGAAUAUUGCGCAAUGGGGGAAACCCUGAAGGAGCAACGCCGCGUGGAGGAUGAAGGUUUUCGGAUUGUAAACUCCUUUUGUUAGAGAAGAUAAUGACGGUAUCUAACGAAUAAGCACCGGGUAACUCCGGGCCAGCAGCCGAGGUAAUACGGAGGGUGCAAGCGUUACUCGGAAUCACUGGGCGUAAAGAGCGCGUAGGCGGGAUAGCAAGUCAGAUGUGAAAUUCUAUAGCUUAACAAUAGAACUGAAUUUGAUACUGUUAUUCUAGAGUAUGGGAGAGGUAGGUGGAAUUCUAGGUGUAGGGGUAAAAUCCGUAGAGAUAAAGAGGAAUACUCAUUGCGAAGGCGACCUACUAGAACAUAACUGACGCUGAUGCGCGAAAGCGUGGGGAGCAAACAGGAUUAGAUACCCUAGUAGUC
rnacentral:rRNA from 1 species